rnacentral:tRNA from 2 species
GAAGCGUGCCCGAGAAAUUAAGGAUUACUUUGAUAGAGUAAAAUACAGAGCAUAAAACCUCUCACUUCCU